rnacentral:rRNA from 1 species
UACGUAGGUGGCUAGCGUUGUCCGGAUUUACUGGGCGUAAAGAGCGCGCAGGCGGUCGUUCAAGUCGAGUGUGAAAGCCCCCCGGCUCAACUGGGGAGGGUCACUCGAUACUGAUCGACUCGAAGGCAGGAGAGGGAAGCGGAAUUCCCGGUGUAGUGGUGAAAUGCGUAGAUAUCGGGAGGAACACCAGUGGCGAAGGCGGCGACCUGGACGGACACUGACGCC